AAAGAACCCUAAUCCUUCUUCACCACAACAACCAACGAGCAGUACUUCUUAGAAACCAUGAAUAACCACCCAAAAUCGACCCUAAGACGCCAAAAACACACACACAGUCAUAAACAGAAGGACAGACAAGAUCGAAGGAGACAGAAAAUCGAUGGGGAAAAAUAUAAAAAGAAAUUCCAAUUUUCUUCUUCUCAAAUCCGGAAAAAUACAAUCCAGUCUCUGAUUUUUUAUCUUCUCAUGGAGUUGGACUUAAAUUCGAGAUUGGAGUUCCAUCGAGGUUGAUGCCGAUUCGAGUUUCCAUCCAUGUUUCGUUACAUUUUAAGCUCAAAACAGUGAUAUAAUUGUCUUUCAGCUAUAUUUGAGGUCCAUUCUUCCCUUUCCUUAUUGUUCUUUUACUUAAUAUCAUGAUAUUGAUAAUCUCGUUAAUUUGUUGUUUCCGUACGUUCAUUGAUUGAGAUGAAUUGGUCUAGCUGUUGUUUUCAUUAAAUUGGUGGUUGAAUUAUUUUUGUAGUAUUGACAGCUCAAACUAAAAAUGAGAUUACUAAGUAAGAACUCUACUUGGAUCUUAUUAACUUUGGAAUAGUGAAUGGGGUCGCGGGGUCAGUUUCAAGAGGAUGAGAAUCGUGUUAAUUAAAACUACAUAAAAUUUGGGUUUUGGUCGUAGUUUAUGCGUGAAAUCGGGCUUUGAAACUAAGUUUAGUUAUGCUUUAUUUGUUUGGAUUCGUAGGAGUAUGUUGUGGGCCGACCACUUGGGUAGGCAAGCCUUAGAAUUAUUGUUAGUUUUGAGGCGAGAGGUCAUUCCUUUAGUUAAAUUUAUCCGAAAAAUGCCUCGAGUGAUUUGUAUGCAUUUUAUUGCUGGGAUAUGCCCUGAAGUGAAUGUAAUUGGAGGCCCUGACGAACAUCGUAGAAGAAAUAGCGUAGGAUAAUUUAGAAAUUUAAUUUUUCUUCUUUUUAAAUUCUUCCAUUUAGGUGGGGACGACCUCGAGCCUCUUUUGAUUUUUUUAUGUGUGUUAUUACCUCAAUUUGAAUGUUUUAAUACCCAACUUGAUCAUGUACGCAACCGUACUAGUUACGAAACUCGGGGAAUGCCUAACACCUUCUCCCCGCGUCAAAUGAACCCCCGUACACAAAUCUCUGGUGCGGACUUGGCUUUAGAGUCUGAAAUAUUUUUUUAAAAAAUCAUUUUAACAAAAACGGUGACCCGGCAUACUGAAAUCAAAGUCAGGUGGCGACGCUGAGUUAUUUUCCUUCUGAACACCAUUUUUGUCACGUUCUAAUUGGAAAACCCUUUCGAGCUUCGCGAAAUCUUUUAGGAUAUUUGGUUGAUGUGUUUGUUUUCUUUAUUUUCUUUGUUUAUUUGCUUUGUUUGUCUUAUUUUCUUAUUUUGUUGGUUAUUUGUUUAUCACUUUUCUUAAUGUGUUACUGCUUUAUAAACUGUCAUUAUUUGCAUAACCUUAGGUCUUCUUUCUGAAACAAGUUCCAGAGUACGCGUCGCGUGCAUGAACUCUUUGUUGAGUCACUUUUAAUUUAAAAAGGGGACACAAAGCUUGAGCAGUCACCAUCGACCAUAUGCUCCCCCCAACUGCCUCGUUAGUGAACCCCAAACUUAGGUAAGUCUUUAGGUCAUUCUUAUUUGCAUAAUAUCAUUUGCACCUAGUAAGGCCCGAUCCCAGGCAUUGUGUCCCUUUGUAGAAAGCCUAUCCAAAUUUUGUCAAAAUGGGCACGUGGCCCAAAAAGGUAUUCAAUCAUCCAUUGUAGUACAUGUUGCAUCUUUAAGGGUAAAAAGGCUAUUUGGCGGACCGAUGUGUGGAGAAAAAGGGUGAAAAUAAAGCAAGUAGGGCCUAGUUAUAUUUUCCUUUCACAACUUUUCAAAAACAAAAAGACCAAAAAAAAUGAAAAUUCCAAAUUUUUUUUACACUUUCCCAUCAUUUUCCAAAAAUCAAAAAAGAAAAGAAAAGGAAAAUUCCAUUAAAAACGAUUUUACACUUUCCCAUAAUUUUCCAAAAAUCCAAAAAAUACAAAAACAAAAUCAAAAAAGAUUUUCUUUUUUCAUCAUCUUUUAAAAAGACAAAAAAAAAUAUUUUUCUCAAAAUUAGUGUCAUUUUUAAAGCUUUUUCCCAUGUCCAAUCCUACUGAACUACGCAUACCUGAUUUUCGUCUUUCGGAACAGGAUACGUAGGCAUCCCACAUAGGGUCCGGUCUUCCUAGUGCCUUAGAUUUUUGGCUUCACGAGGUCUUAGCCAAAUCUUGCAUAUCUAGCCAUGUUUGGCCACAUCGACUGUUUUUGCAAAAUAAGAAUGUUUUUACAAAGUGGCUUGUUAACCCAUGUCUUAGAGUCUAAGCCUAAAAAAUGGUGUCCUCUCAGUUUUAAGGUCCUUCUUUUUUGAAUUUGCAUGUCUAGCCACUUUUGGCCACAUCAGCCAUUCUUGCAAAAUUGGGUCAUUUUCGUAAAAGUGGUCCAAUUACCCACGUCUUAAAAUCUUGAGUCAACACCUAGGUGUCAUAUUGCUUUAAGGUCUGUCCUUUUUGAGUUUGCAUCUUUAGCCACUUCUAGUCAUAUCAGUCAUUUUUGCAAAAUGGGGCAUCUUCACAAAUUAAUUUUAGGCCAUGAUAUUGGGAGUUCGAAUACAUAAAAUCCUUAGUGAGGCAUUUUUUAUGUCCUUGAUGUCAAUUUUGUUGAGUUUGCAUGAAUAUCUACUCUUAGCCAUGUAGGUUAAUUUUUAACAAUAGCCCAAUAUUAUCUUGCAUGUGUCUAAUAGGAGGUGUGGUCUCAUAUAGUGUCUAGAGUCAUUUAAUUUGUUUGGUCUUAUUUUUUUCAUUCAGGUAUGAAUUUAUUUAACAGAGCUCGAGCACGACAGAUAACCCGGAACUAUCACAUUUG
rnacentral:lncRNA from 1 species